GUACUUAUUUAGACGAGAUUUAUAGGUGAUCAAGAAAGUAUAUGACCUAGUUUGAUAGCCUCCAUUGUACUUUGGAAGGACAUUGGUUUACCAUCUCCCUAAGUCGGGAGAGUGGAUGUCAUAAUUUGUGGCGGUGGAUUACGAGUGCGCACAAUUUUAUCCA